rnacentral:rRNA from 1 species
UACGUAGGGUGCGAGCGUUAAUCGGAAUUACUGGGCGUAAAGCGUGCGCAGGCGGUUGUGCAAGACAGAUGUGAAAUCCCCGGGCUUAACCUGGGAAUUGCAUUUGUGACUGCACGGCUAGAGUGUGUCAGAGGGAGGUAGAAUUCCACGUGUAGCAGUGAAAUGCGUAGAUAUGUGGAGGAAUACCGAUGGCGAAGGCAGCCUCCUGGGAUAACACUGAC